rnacentral:rRNA from 1 species
GCAAGUCGAGCGAGAACAGUACUUCGGUACUUAUUAAAGCGGCAGACGGGUGCGUAACACGUGGGAAUCUACCUAGUUCUACGGAAUAGCCAUUGGAAACGAUGAUUAAUACCGUAUAAUCCCUCCGGGGGAAAGAUUUAUCGGAAUUAGAUGAGCCCGCGCCUGAUUAGUUUGUUGGUGGGGUAAUGGCCUACCAAGACUACGAUCAGUAGCUGUUCUUAGAGGAAGAUC